rnacentral:rRNA from 1 species
CAGUAGCCGCGGUAAUACGUAGGUGGCAGGCGUUGUCCGGAAUUAUUGGGCGUAAAGGGCUCGCAGGCGGUUUCUUAAGUCUGAUGUGAAAGCCCCCGGCUCAACCGGGGAGGGUCAUUGGAAACUGGGAAACUUGAGUGCAGAAGAGGAGAGUGGAAUUCCACGCGUAGCGGUGAAAUGCGUAGAGAUGUGGAGGAACACCAGUGGCGAAGGCGACUCUCUGGUCUGUAACUGACGCUGAGGAGCGAAAGCGUGGGGAGCGAACAGAAUUAGAUACCCCGGUAGUCCCUGUCUCUUAUAC